rnacentral:lncRNA from 1 species
UACGGCCGGCCGGCCGGCCGUCGUCACGAUGGCGUGAAAGAAUUUGACAUUCGUAUACCAUAUAUACAAUCAUUCGUAGAGUAGUAUUAAUUAGUAGUUAGGAGAGUAUUAUACAAACGAUUUUGUACGCCGUGUACUCGCAAGGCUACUUCUACUUCCUGGCGUACGCGCUCGUUGUUUUCCAAUGUGGCGACCAAUAAGCAAAAGCUCCGUCAACUGGGCAAAGAAAAACAACACCAGUGUACACACUGGUACUAGCAGAGUAUAAUUUUUUCUUUGAAAAAAAAUAAACAUGACGAGCGCAUACACAUGCACUGCUGUUAUUUCUCCCCGAUAUCGACAAACUUGGACAGUGACUCAGCGAGAGACACCCUGCGAUUGAUUCAAACAAAAGAAUUUACCUGUUUUUUCACGCGCGCGGUUGCUAGGAUCUGAUGAGGUGUGUUUUGCGUUUUGGUAACCGUCAAUGACUUUUUUUUCAAAAAAUACUGACAGAAAUGCCAGGCAAAUAUAUUAAUAUAGAGGAAACCGCCAAUGACUAUGGACCCAGUUUUUUUUUUUUUUUGUCCAGUCAAUCAAACUCCGUGGUUACUAUUUCUCGCCGUGCGUACUAAGUUGGAGAAUCCCAGCAACAAAGCGAAACUCUAUAUGAUUUCAACAUGAGCAUAAUAAGCGUAGUUAGUAACUGGAGCUAAAAAAAUAUUUUUGGCUGA